rnacentral:rRNA from 1 species
UACGUAGAAGGCAAGCGUUAGUCCGGAAUUACUGGGCGUAAAGCGCGUGUAGGUGGUGGGACAAGUCUGCUGUGAAAGCGCCUGGCUUAACCGGGCGAGGUCGGCGGAAACUGUCCGACUCGAGGACGGUAGAGGGGGGUGGAAUUCCCGGUGUAGUGGUGAAAUGCGUAGAGAUCGGGAGGAACACCUGUGGCGAAGGCGGCCCCCUGGGCCGGCCCUGACACUGAGACGCGAAGGCGUGGGGAGCGAACGGG